UACGGAGGUUGCAAGCGUUAUCCGGAAUCACUGGGUUUAAAGGGUGCGUAGGCGGCUUGGUAAGUCAGAGGUGAAAGCUUCCCGCUUAACGGGAGAACUGCCUUUGAUACUGCCAGGCUUGAAUCGGCGCGAGGCAGGCGGAAUGUGACAUGUAGCGGUGAGAUGCUUAGAUAUGUCAUAGAACACCGAUUGCGAAGGCAGCCUGCCAGAGCCGAAUUGACGCUGAGGCACGAAAGCGUGGGGAGCGAACAGG
rnacentral:rRNA from 1 species